GAACCUGCGGAAGGAUCAUUACCGAGUUUUCGAGCUUCGGCUCGACUCUCCCACCCUUUGUGAACGUACCUCUGUUGCUUUGGCGGCUCCGGCCGCCAAAGGACCUUCAAACUCCAGUCAGUAAACGCAGACGUCUGAUAAACAAGUUAAUAAACUAAAACUUUCAACAACGGAUCUCUUGGUUCUGGCAUCGAUGAAGAACGCAGCGAAAUGCGAUAAGUAAUGUGAAUUGCAGAAUUCAGUGAAUCAUCGAAUCUUUGAACGCACAUUGCGCCCCUUGGUAUUCCGGGGGGCAUGCCUGUUCGAGCGUCAUUACAACCCUCAAGCUCUGCUUGGAAUUGGGCACCGUCCUCACUGCGGACGCGCCUCAAAGACCUCGGCGGUGGCUGUUCAGCCCUCAAGCGUAGUAGAAUACACCUCGCUUUGGAGCGGUUGGCGUCGCCCGCCGGACGAACCUUCUGAACUUUUCUCAAGGUUGACCUCGGAUCAGGUAGGGAUACCCGCUGAACUUAAGCAUAUCAAA
rnacentral:rRNA from 1 species